rnacentral:rRNA from 1 species
UCUGGUUGAUCCUGCCAGUAGUUAUAUGCUUGUCUCAAAGAUUAAGCCAUGCAUGUCUAAGUACACACGAAUUAAAAGUGAAACCGCAAAAGGCUCAUUAUAUCAGUUAUGGUUCCUUAGAUCGUUAACAGUUACUUGGAUAACUGUGGUAAUUCUAGAGCUAAUACAUGCAAUUAAAACAUGAACCUUAUGGGACAUGUGCUUUUAUUAGGCUAAAACCAAGCGAUCGCAAGAUCGUUAUAUUGGUUGAACUCUAGAUAACAUGCAGAUCGUAUGGUCUUGUACCGACGACAGAUCUUUCAAAUGUCUGCCCUAUCAACUUUUGAUGGUAGUAUCUAGGACUACCAUGGUUGCAACGGGUAACGGGGAAUCAGGGUUCGAUUCCGGAGAGGGAGCCUGAGAAACGGCUACCACAUCUAAGGAAGGCAGCAGGCGCGUAAAUUACCCACUCCCAGCUCGGGGAGGUAGUGACGAAAAAUAACAAUACAGGACUCAUAUCCGAGGCCCUGUAAUUGGAAUGAGUACACUUUAAAUCCUUUAACAAGGACCAAUUGGAGGGCAAGUCUGGUGCCAGCAGCCGCGGUAAUUCCAGCUCCAAUAGCGUAUAUUAAAGUUGUUGCGGUUAAAACGUUCGUAGUUGAACUUGUGCUUCAUACGGGUAGUACAACUUACAAUUGUGGUUAGUACUAUACCUUUAUGUAUGUAAGCGUAUUACCGGUGGAGUUCUUAUAUGUGAUUAAAUACUUGUAUUUUUUCAUAUGUUCCUCCUAUUUAAAAACCUGCACUAGUGCUCUUAAACGAGUGUUAUUGUGGGCCGGUACUAUUACUUUGAACAAAUUAGAGUGCUUAAAGCAGGCUUCAAAUGCCUGAAUAUUCUGUGCAUGGGAUAAUGAAAUAAGACCUCUGUUCUGCUUUCAUUGGUUUUCAGAUCAAGAGGUAAUGAUUAAUAGAAGCAGUUUGGGGGCAUUAGUAUUACGACGCGAGAGGUGAAAUUCUUGGACCGUCGUAAGACUAACUUAAGCGAAAGCAUUUGCCAAAGAUGUUUUCAUUAAUCAAGAACGAAAGUUAGAGGUUCGAAGGCGAUCAGAUACCGCCCUAGUUCUAACCAUAAAGGAUGCCAGCUAGCAAUUGGGUGUAGC